GGAAAUUAUAUGUAAAGAGAAAAAAAAGAUCAAUUACCCAAAGAUUUGGGUUUGGAUAAAUAUGGAUUAUUUAUGUGAGGUUAGUAAAAAUCUAGCAUCCCAUCAAUGGA